rnacentral:lncRNA from 1 species
CCAGAGUUGGGGGCGCAGGAGAUUGCAGGUGGGGCCUGAGGGGAAGCUUGAGGUCCCGGCCACUGACGCCCUCACCCUCGGCGGAGGCCACCCCUUAGGGCUGCGACCUCUCCGCCGAGUCUCAGCUCGGUCGCCCCUCCCCCGUGGGCGCGCCGAUGGCCGCCUGCGUGUAAGUCAUUAAUUCUGCUCCAGAGGCGCCGGCGCCGCGGCGAGGACUUCUGUCAGCGACCCCACACCGCGCUCCACGCCCCCUGCCCCACCCCCAGACCCAGAGCGGGUGAGCGGUGGACACGGAUGCGGCUCCUCGCUCACCGAGGCUUGGAGACCGCUGGUGCGCGGCACAGAAGCUCUGGAGGGCGUCGGGGUCCCCGAGUUGAUGGAGGGGGCGGGGCCCGAGGCCGGCCCUGGGGACAAAGACCCCCAGGCUGCCUGGGGCCUGGAUGCAGCAGACGGGGAGAAAAUGCAAGUACCCCCCUCCGUGUCCUCCGUCCCCCGAAUCCACUCAAGCUGGGACCUGAGUGUUGGGGUGGGUGGAGGGGAGGACAGAACCCUCCUGGGCCUUAGGGGCGCGUGCCGGCGACGCUGCAGGGGGGCCCACCGGGGCGUCGCCUCCCCGCACGCGAGGCUGUAGCUACACCCCAAAACCCUCCCAGAAGCUUCGCGGGUCCCCUUUACUCUCCACAGUCCAGCCGGCGGCUCGCCGCGACCACCGCACGCCCACCGCCGCUCAGAUGGGGCGGGGGACGGGCUCCCGUCAGUGGGUCGGGAGGGAAUUCCCGCUCAGCGGAGACUCGGGCCGGGAACCCCACGCCCCGCCAGCGGGGAGGGCUCCCUUGAGGACGGUGCUAGCAUCGCGCCGGUCUGGGCGGCCACAGGCCACACGGUGCAGUUUGGGAAGAGAGAAAGUUGGGGGCGACACCCAGAGACGGGAGAGUCAAGAAGGAGGGACGAGGAGGGGGCGUGGAGGCAAGAGCGGCAGGGGGAGAAACCGAGUCUCAGAGGAAGGGCCCCGUCCCAAGCCAUGCUGGACGGCGUCACGGACCAGCCUGCGUCUCACCGGGCACUGCCUGCAGGUUAGAUGGGAAUCUCAGCAGAGGACCAGCAUCCUGCCCCGCCUCCUCUCUGACCUCAGUCCCUUCUAACAGUCGGAUCUGAGAAAGCUGCAGGUGAGACUCACUUCAGGAAACGAGAAGACUCAGGAGACCGGGGCUGGGCUGAGAUGGGGCAGAGCAGGGGGACAGGAGGGUCCCU